AAUAUCGUUUGGUGAAAUAUUUAAUAAAAAGCUGUGGCCUAUUUUCACCAACUAUGUCUCAUGUCACAUUAUUGUAAAGGGGGUAUAAUAAAAGGGGGAACUACACACAACUCCCCACUACGUCCACACAAGUGGCCUACAUGACCAAACUAAGUUAGAGGGAGUCACAGCAUCAUCUAUCCCAAACCCAGAAGAUAUGAUGAUGGAAAUAAAAGGUUAAUGUGAUACACACAGAACUUAUGGACCUGCCGUCGAUGUUAUCUCAGUUACCCUCCAUUUCACCAGUAAAUGUAUUUGCUAUUUUACAAUCCACACCCAAAUAUCACAGAUACAUCAUGUGGGGGAUCCCAUGCUAGCAUGUAGAGACAUUUGAAUGUAAAAAGAAAAGAAAUUGUCAUUCCGGCUCUGCACUCCUACAG